rnacentral:rRNA from 1 species
CCUCCGUUCUUCCGCCGUUCUUACUAUUUUUCACUUGUCUCUAUCCUUAACCAGCCAAGUCGCGUGAGGGAGUACUGCCCUAUGGGUUGUAAACCUCUUUUGUCGGGGAGCAAAAGCCGGACGUGUCCGGCUGUGAGAGUACCCGAAGAAAAAGCAUCGGCUAACUCCGUGCCAGCAGCCGCGGUAAUACGGAGGAUGCGAGCGUUAUCCGGAUUUAUUGGGUUUAAAGGGUGCGCAGGCGGAUUUUUAAGUCAGCGGUCAAAUCGUGGGGCUCAACCCCAUCCAGCCGUUGAAACUGGGGAUCUAGAGUGUGCGAGAGGUAUGCGGAAUGCGUGGUGUAGCGGUGAAAUGCAUAGAUAUCACGCAGAACCCCGAUUGCGAAGGCAGCAUACCGGUGCACAACUGACGCUCAGGCACGAAAGCGUGGGUAUCGAACAGGAUUAGAUACCCGUGUAGUC